rnacentral:rRNA from 1 species
GACGAACGCUGGCGGCGUGCUUAACACAUGCAAGUCGAACGGUGAAGCGCCUUCCUUUUUGGUGGGUGUGGAUGAGUGGCGAACGGGUGAGUAACACGUGAGUAACCUGCCCCCUUCUUCUGGAUAACCGCAUGAAAGUGUGGCUAAUACGGGAUAUUCUGGGUCUGUCGCAUGAUGGGUCUGGGAAAGAUAUUGUUUCGGUGGGGGAUGGGCUCGCGGCCUAUCAGCUUGUUGGUGGGGUGAUGGCCUACCAAGGCGGUGACGGGUAGCCGGCCUGUGAGGGUGGACGGUCACACUGGGACUGAGACACGGCCCAGACUCCUACGGGAGGCAGCAGUGGGGAAUAUUGCACAAUGGGCGCAAGCCUGAUGCAGCGACGCCGCGUGAGGGAUGGAGGCCUUCGGGUUGUGAACCUCUUUCGCCAGUGAAGCAGGCCUGCCUCGUUUGUGGGUGGGUUGACGGUAGCUGGAUAAGAAGCGCCGGCUAACUACGUG